CUAAGGAAUAUUACGGAAACCUACACACGCGUCGAAACUUUAGUUUAGUUUUGAGAGAUUUAACUCUCAAAACUUGUUCUUUGAAAACUAGAUAAUAUCAAAUAUAUUUUUUCAUAAUGAAACCGAGAACACGCGCGUUUUUUGAGUUUUUUNAUUGAAGUUUAAUUAUCGCUAAACAUCAUGUAAUCGCAUUUACCGUUAGGU
rnacentral:misc_RNA from 1 species